CGGGGAGAGCGAUCGCGGGGAGCCCGGCGGGGCUGGUAAGCGGUACCGGCCUGUCCGCCAAAGUGCAGCCCAGUAGCCGUGUGAAUGGUUUCUGUGCUUGUGAUACUGUUCCCAUCUGAGUGAAACCAUCUGUCUACCCAGCACGGAUGUGAUGUGACUUCUAAUGGUGGGCAACUUAAAUGUAAAAACACUUGGUGCUUUAUAGGUACCCUGCUCUACCGUGCCUCUUAGUCCUCAAGCACAGGAGCUGCUUCUGCCAGCUGGUCCUUCAAGGGAAACAGAAAAAACUCCUGUGUCAGUUUUUCAUUUCGAUGUCUGCCUGCUCUACCUGGCUGUUUGGGACAUUAGGAGCUAUCUUGACGUGAAGCAAAUUGGAAAUUUCUGAGCUAACAAAAGUUAGAGGAGAAGGUGCUGAGGUGCUCAAGCAGUUGAUUGUAUUUGGAAAGCAGACUGCAGACGUGUCUUCUCAUGCAAGGUUCUCAACUGUGGCCAAAGCUUUGCGGCUGUCUGACAAGGCUAAAGGAUCGCCUCUAACAGCUGCUGACAUGGUUACCUGCUUGGGUAGAUGCUGGAAAAGCUUUAGAUAGGUUAGUGUGCUCCCUUUCUUACAGUGUUUCUUUAAGAAUUCCCUUUUAUUUAUACCAUGAACAAAUUGCCCGUCAUGAACACACCCACACCGAAGGGCAAGCACUGUGUUCAGAAGUUGCGCAACCAUUUCCUAGUUUUCCACAGUUUUCCACUACACAGAGAGAAUCUGGUCCUGGCAUGGUCGUUAUGCCAAUAGUUAACUUUCACUUCCAGUAGGUAAUACACUGUAAUAUUUUACAAGAUGAAUGAUAAACAUUUAGGACAGAUUACCAGUGAACGUAUUAGACUCUUCAUCAUUUGAAACCUUUACAUCAAGAAUUUAGUCUCCUUAAAACAUGACCACAAAUGUCUGCACUAACCCAUCUGCAGUUUUAUAGCCUGUAAUAACGAGGUAAUAAGGAUGGAUUAGAAGGUUCAUCUCUGGCCUUUCAGUGCAUAUGCAUACCUGGUCAGAAUAAGAAUAAAAUUAUAAUAUCCUGAUGUGAUAGUACUUUACAGCUGCUUUGAACAGUGCUCUCUAUAGUCUAGGAAACGCUUGGCUGUGGUAGGGUGACACUGUUCAUCUUCACCUUUAGCUGUCAUGUCAUGACGUUUUAGCUUGUGCUGUGUCAAGCCAAAUUCACUAAAAUUAAUUUGGAAAUAAGGAAAUUUGUCAAGCAAAUCAAUUCACUAGCUCUAACAACAUGAUUUCUAUUACUGCUUCCUCUUUCUCCUAUACGAAGUAUAAAUAACCCACAACGUGAUACAAUAGCAAGCAGAUAUGAAAAGGACUUCUAGUUAACAUUGCAGAUUUCUAUUUCUUUAAAACUUACUAUUGUUAUUGAUGACUUAGCAAUGAAAAUAUGACUUAUUUUU